CCAAUAGCGUAUAUUAAAGUUGUUGCAGUUAAAAAGCUCGUAGUUGAAUUUCAGGCCUGGCUGGACGGUCCGCCCUUCGGGUGAGUACUGUCUGUGGUCGGGUCCUACCUUCUGGCGAAGCGUCAUGGCCUUAACCGGCCGUGGCGGGGAACCAGGACUUUUACUGUGAAAAAAUUAGAGUGUUCAAAGCAGGCAAUCGCUUGGAUACAUUAGCAUGGAAGAAUGGAAUAGGACAAUGGUUCUACUUGUUGGUUUCUAGGACCGUUGUAAUGAUUAAUAGGGAUAGUUGGGGGCAUUAGUAUUCAAUUGUCAGAGGUGAAAUUCUUGGAUUUAUUGAAGACUAACUACUGCGAAAGCAUUUGCCAAGGAUGUUUUCAUUAAUCAAGAACGAAAGUUAGGGGAUCGAAGACGAUCAGAUACCGUCGUAGUCUUAACCAUAAACUAUGCCGACUAGGAAUCGGGCGAUGUUGACAAAAUGACGCGCUCGGCACCUCAUG
rnacentral:rRNA from 1 species